rnacentral:rRNA from 1 species
GAUGAACGCUAGCGGCAGGCCUAAUACAUGCAAGUCGAACGGGUGGUCGCAAGACCACUAGUGGCGCACGGGUGCGUAACGCGUAACCAACCUGCCCCGAUCUGGGGGAUAGCCCGCCGAAAGGCGGAUUAAUACCGCAUAUACCCGCAGCCUGGCAUCAGGCAACGGGGAAAGAUUUAUUGGAUCGGGAUGGGGUUGCGUGACAUUAGCUAGUAGGCGGGGUAAGGGCCCACCAAGGCGACGAUGUCUAGGGGACCUGAGAGGGUGAUCCCCCACACUGGCACUGAGAUACGGGCCAGACUCCUACGGGAGGCAGCAGUAGGGAAUAUUGGGCAAUGGGCGAGAGCCUGACCCAGCCAUGCCGCGUGCCGGAUGAAGGCCUUCUGGGUUGUAAACGGCUUUUCUCAGGGAAGAAAAAGACCUUGCGAGGUACACUGACGGUACCUGAGGAAUAAGCACCGGCUAACUCCGU